GACGAACGCUGGCGGCGUGCUUAACACAUGCAAGUCGAACGGAAAGGCCCUGCUUUUGUGGGGUGCUCGAGUGGCGAACGGGUGAGUAACACGUGAGUAACCUGCCCUUGACUUUGGGAUAACUUCAGGAAACUGGGGCUAAUACCGGAUAGGAGCUCCUGCUGCAUGGUGGGGGUUGGAAAGUUUCGGCGGUUGGGGAUGGACUCGCGGCUUAUCAGCUUGUUGGUGGGGUAGUGGCUUACCAAGGCUUUGACGGGUAGCCGGCCUGCGAGGGUGACCGGCCACAUGGGGACUGAGAUACGGCCCAGACUACUACGGGAGGCAGCAGUGGGGAAUAUUGCACAAUGGGCGGAAGCCUGAUGCAGCAACGCCGCGUGCGGGAUGACGGCCUUCGGGUUGUAAACCGCUUUCGACUGUGACGAAGCGUGAGUGACGGUAAUGGGUAAAGAAGCACCGGCUAACUACGUG
rnacentral:rRNA from 1 species